AAGAGUUUAAUUUUGAUGCACCGACAAUGUAAAGUUUUUUUACACUGUCAAUCAACCAAAUUUCAAAUAUUUGUUAUGUCGCUCAAUUUAAUUAAAUAAAAAAUUUGUCGUUCACACAUUCAAGAAAUCUGAUUGGUUGACAGUGUAAAAAAAACUUUACACCGUCGGUGCAUCAAACUUUUUUCUCUU
rnacentral:pre_miRNA from 1 species